GACGUAGGGCGCGAGCGUUGUCCGGAUUUAUUGGGCGUAAAGAGCUCGUAGGCGGCUUUGUCGCGUCGACUGUGAAAACCCCGGCGGCUCAACUGCGGGCCUUGCAGCCGAUACGGGCAGGCUAGAGUUCGGUAGGGGGAGACUGGAAUUCCUGGUGUAGCGGUGAAAUGCGCAGAUAUCAGGAGGAACACCAGUGGCGAAGGC
rnacentral:rRNA from 1 species